GACAGUUGCAAUAGUCUCAUUAAGAGAUACAGAAAUUGCUUGAUUGCAGUGAUUGCCUCAAAAGUUGGGCAACAAAAUAUUAAGUUAUGGGUACCAUCAUUUUUGUCCAGGCCAGUUUCAUUAGUUUACGCCGUCACACAAUUCU